GCAAUGUAAUUAUAUUUACUUACAAGUGUGCUCCUGGUGGUCUUUAACUGAAGGGCACUGACUGGGUCACUGGUGAAGUUCCCCGCAGGAACUGAGUCAGACCCCAUCUCAGGGCCCUGCACAAGAUAGGUGCCUGCUCUAAGGCGUGGACCCUCGCCACAGCCCUGGCCCGUCUUGACGGGCGAGGGUUACUGUACUUGUCCCAACCGUACAGAUGAGAAAGCUGAGACUCAGGGCGAGCAACCCGGGUCCCAGCGGAGCGCCCGGCACACGCCGACACUUCAGCACCAGUCGCGGUGGCCACCACUGUGCGCGGAGAUGGCUGCGACGCGUGCGCAGGUAAAGUCCAUCCGUGCCUUGCCUCCCACCGGCGCCUUCCCCGGCCUCUGGUUUUUGUACCCGCCAGCGGCUCCGACUCCAUCGCGUCCUCUUCCAGUCUAGUGCUUUUUUCCAGAUCUCGAUCCCAAACUCCCUCCUGCCAGAAUCUGGACCCGAAUCCACCCAUUGCCCGUUUUCUGCUGCCGCUGGAGAGAAUCUCUGAGGUCCCCAGGAGAGCCUGCCUGCACGGAAGAGAUGCCUCCUCAAUCAAAUGCUGUUUUCCAUGACUGUCUCUGUUCUUCCCAUACGCGAAUGGCAGGCAUCCAGAUCUCCAAGAAUAGAGGAUUAGGAGAGACUCCACCACCUAUGUCCUCACAGUUAAUUAUCGAUUUGUGUCAGUUGCCCAUUUUCUCACUUCCUGUUUGUGUGUCAAGGAGUAUUAAUAAAUCUUUGCCUAUUUAAA
rnacentral:lncRNA from 10 species